AUCGCUUCUCGGCCUUUUGGCUAAGAUCAAGUGUAGUAUCUGUCCUUAUCAGUUGAAAAAUAGUAGUUCCCUCUCAUUUACCCACUCUCAAGAUUAUGAGCAUAAAACUAUUUUCACAAAAUGAUGAAAGGCAUUGUUUAUGCACUACAGCCUGAACAUAAUCAUACUUUCCACAAAGUAUAGAAUUUGUUUGAGACA
ensembl:snRNA U2 U2 spliceosomal RNA